rnacentral:rRNA from 1 species
UCAUCAUGCCCCUUAUGACCUGGCUACACACGUGCUACAAUGGCUGGUACAACGAGUCGCAAGUCGGUGACGACAAGCUAAUCUCUUAAAGCCAGUCUCAGUUCGGAUUGUAGGCUGCAACUCGCCUACAUGAAGUCGGAAUCGCUAGUAAUCGCGGAUCAGCACGCCGCGGUGAAUACGUUCCCGGGCCUUGUACACACCGCCCGUCACACCACGAGAGUUUGUAACACCCGAAGUCGGUGAGGUAACCGUAAGGAGCCAGCCGCCUAAGGUGGGAUAGAUGAUUGGGGUGAAGUCGUAACAAGGUAGCCGUAUCGGAA